UACGUAGGGUGCAAGCGUUGUCCGGAAUUAUUGGGCGUAAAGCGCUUGUAGGCGGUUUGUCGCGUCUGCUGUGAAAUUUCGGGGCUCAACCCCGAACUUGCAGUGGGUACGGGCAGACUAGAGUGUGGUAGGGGAGACUGGAAUUCCUGGUGUAGCGGUGAAAUGCGCAGAUAUCAGGAGGAACACCGAUGGCGAAGGCAGGUCUCUGGGCCGCUACUGACGCUGAGAAGCGAAAGCAUGGGGAGCGAACAGG
rnacentral:rRNA from 1 species